rnacentral:rRNA from 1 species
GACGAACGCUGGCGGCGCGCUUAACACAUGCAAGUCGAACGGAAAGGCCUGCUUUCCCUUGUGGAUUGCGGGUACUCGAGUGGCGAACGGGUGAGUAACACGUGAGUGAUCUGCCCCCAACUUGGGUAUAAGCCUGGGAAACUGGGUCUAAUUCCCGAUAGGACUGCAGGGUGGUGCCUGUGGUGGAAAACGAUUUUCUAGUGGUUGGGGAUGAGCUCGCGGCCUAUCAGCUUGUUGGUGGGGUAAUGGCCUACCAAGGCGGCGACGGGUAGCCGGCCUGGGAGGGUGGACGGCCACAUUGGGACUGGGAUACGGCCCAGACUCCUACGGGAGGCAGCAGUGGGGAAUAUUGCACAGUGGGCGGAAGCCUGAUGCAGCGACGCCGCGUGGGGGAUGACGGCCUUCGGGUUGUAAGCUCCUUUCGACCGCGAGGAAGCCACCUGGUUGGAAGGGUGGUGACGGUAGUGGUAGAAGAAGCACCGGCUAACUACGUG